CCCCUCUCAAUAUUGCACCUGGAGAGUUUCCAGUAUUCUACCAGUCUCGACUACAGGAGAGAGAGCGAGCAGAGGCAUACCCAUUCCAUUCCUAGCUGGGGCAGGGGCUAGCGAGUGGAAGGCAAUCUCCUACAAGU